GAUGAAGAACGUAGCGAAAUGCGAUAAGUAAUGUGAAUUGCAGAAUUCAGUGAAUCAUCGAAUCUUUGAACGCACAUUGCGCCCGCCAGUAUUCUGGCGGGCAUGCCUGUUCGAGCGUCAUUUCAACCAUCAAGCCCCCGGCUUGUGUUGGGGACCUGCGGCUGCCGCAGGCCCUGAAAACCAGUGGCGGGCUCGCUAGUCACUCCGAGCGUAGUAAUACAUCUCGCUCAGGGCGUGCUGCGGGUUCCGGCCGUUAAAAGCCUUAUUUUACCCAAGGUUGACCUCGGAUCAGGUAGGAAUACCCGCUGAACUUAAGCAUAUCAAUAAGCGGAGGA
rnacentral:misc_RNA from 1 species